rnacentral:rRNA from 1 species
GAUGAACGCUGGCGGCGUGCUUAACACAUGCAAGUCGAACGAUUAAACUGGCUUCGGCCAGAUAUAGAGUGGCGAACGGGUGAGUAACACGUGACCAACCUGCCCCGCGCUCCGGGACAACCGCUGGAAACGGCGGCUAAUACCGGAUGCUCCGGGGAGGCCCCAUGGCCUCCCCGGGAAAGCCUUAACGGCGCGGGAUGGGGUCGCGGCCCAUUAGGUAGACGGCGGGGUAACGGCCCACCGUGCCCGCGAUGGGUAGCCGGACUGAGAGGUCGACCGGCCACAUUGGGACUGAGAUACGGCCCAGACUCCUACGGGAGGCAGCAGUGGGGAAUUUUGCGCAAUGGGGGCAACCCUGACGCAGCAACGCCGCGUGCGGGACGAAGGCCUUCGGGUUGUAAACCGCUUUCAGCAGGGAAGACU